AGAGUUUGAUCAUGGCUCAGGAUGAACGCUGGCGGCGUGCCUAACACAUGCAAGUCGAGCGAUUCUCUUCGGAGAAGAGCGGCGGACGGGUGAGUAACGCGUGGGUAACCUGCCCUGUACACACGGAUAACAUACCGAAAGGUAUGCUAAUACGAGAUAAUAUGCCUUUAUCGCAUGGUAGAAGUAUCAAAGCUUUUGCGGUACAGGAUGGACCCGCGUCUGAUUAGCUAGUUGGUAAGGUAACGGCUUACCAAGGCGACGAUCAGUAGCCGACCUGAGAGGGUGAUCGGCCACAUUGGAACUGAGACACGGUCCAAACUCCUACGGGAGGCAGCAGUGGGGAAUAUUGCACAAUGGGCGAAAGCCUGAUGCAGCAACGCCGCGUGAGCGAUGAAGGCCUUCGGGUCGUAAAGCUCUGUCCUCAAGGAAGAUAAUGACGGUACUUGAAGAGGAAGCCCCGGCUAACUACGUGCCAGCAGCCGCGGUAAUACGUAGGGGGGCUAGCGUUAUCCGGAAUUACUGGGCGUAAAGGGUGCGUAGGUGGUUUCUUAAGUCAGAGGUGAAAGGCUACGGCUCAACCGUAGUAAGCCUUUGAAACUGGGAAACUUGAGUGCAGGAGAGGAGAGUGGAAUUCCUAGUGUAGCGGUGAAAUGCGUAGAUAUUAGGAGGAACACCAGUUGCGAAGGCGGCUCUCUGGACUGUAACUGACACUGAGGCACGAAAGCGUGGGGAGCAAACAGGAUUAGAUACCCUGGUAGUCCACGCCGUAAACGAUGAGUACUAGCUGUCGGAGGUUACCCCCUUCGGUGGCGCAGCUAACGCAUUAAGUACUCCGCCUGGGAAGUACGCUCGCAAGAGUGAAACUCAAAUGGAAUUGACGGGGACCCGCACAAGUAGCGGAGCAUGUGGUUUAAUUCGAAGCAACGCGAAGAACCUUACCUAAGCUUGACAUCCUUUUGACCGAUGCCUAAUCGCAUCUUUCCCUUCGGGGACAGAAGUGACAGGUGGUGCAUGGUUGUCGUCAGCUCGUGUCGUGAGAUGUUGGGUUAAGUCCCGCAACGAGCGCAGCCCUUGCCUUUAGUUGCCAGCAUUAAGUUGGGCACUCUAGAGGGACUGCCAGGGAUAACCUGGAGGAAGGUGGGGAUGACGUCAAAUCAUCAUGCCCCUUAUGCUUAGGGCUACACACGUGCUACAAUGGGUGGUACAGAGGGCAGCCAAGUCGUGAGGCGGAGCUAAUCCCUUAAAGCCAUUCUCAGUUCGGAUUGUAGGCUGAAACUCGCCUACAUGAAGCUGGAGUUACUAGUAAUCGCAGAUCAGAAUGCUGCGGUGAAUGCGUUCCCGGGUCUUGUACACACCGCCCGUCACACCACGGGAGUUGGGGGCGCCCGAAGCCGGAUUGCUAACCUUUUGGAAGCGUCCGUCGAAGGUGAAAUCAAUAACUGGGGUGAAGUCGUAACAAGGUAGCCGUA
rnacentral:rRNA from 1 species